UACGUAGGGUGCAAGCGUUGUCCGGAAUUAUUGGGCGUAAAGGGCUCGUAGGCGGUUUGUCGCGUCGGGAGUGAAAUCCACUGGCUUAACUGGUGGCUUGCUUUCGGUACGGGCAGACUGGAGGUAUGCAGGGGAGAACGGAAUUCCUGGUGUAGCGGUGAAAUGCGCAGAUAUCAGGAGGAACACCGGUGGCGAAGGCGGGUCUCUGGGCCGAUACUGACGCUGAGGAGCGAAAGCGUGGGGAGCGAACAGG
rnacentral:rRNA from 1 species